AAAAGAAAGAGGUUACUGAUUUCUCUACAUUCGUCUAGUCCUUACAACUCUGAGCCUUCUAACUGCUUUCCAAAACAAAUAAAGAAACUGGAGCAGAAAAUCAGUCACAUUAAAUUUACCACCAUUCAAAAAGCCAAGGCACUGAAAAUGCUUGGAUAUCAUACAGAUAGUUUCAUUAUCUUCUUUUUAGAGGCACUCUGAAUGUGAAUUGCAUCUGAGUCAGUCUAUCCUUCCAGGAAUUGAAUUAGUUUUCCUCACACUCUCAGAGGAGGCAAUGCAUAACACAAGUUACAUGUCAGGAGCAUUCCCCAGAGAUGAUGAUUUUGAUUCAACAUCCUACUGUUUCAAAAAUAUAGCAAUAUAAUUUUAAUAUGCUAUUGGGCAUAUAUUCUGGUGGCAGUUUACCACUUCGAAAGGGAUCAGAUUAAAAUGUCUUUAUUAGAGGUCAAAA